CACGUAGGGCGCAAGCGUUGUCCGGAAUUACUGGGCGUAAAGCGCACGUAGGCGGCUUUGUAAGUUAGAGGUGAAAGCCUGGAGCUCAACUCCAGAAUUGCCUUUAAGACUGCAUCGCUUGAAUCCAGGAGAGGUGAGUGGAAUUCCCAGUGUAGAGGUGAAAUUCGUAGAUAUUGGGAAGAACACCGGUGGCGAAGGCGGCUCUCUGGACCGAUACUGACGCUGAGGCGCGAAAGCGUGGGGAGCAAACAGG
rnacentral:rRNA from 1 species